CCUACGGGAGGCAGCAGUGGGGAAUCUUGCGCAAUGGGGGCAACCCUGACGCAGCAACGCCGCGUGAGUGAUGAAGGCCUUCGGGUCGUAAAGCUCUGUCAGAGGGGAAGAAAUGCAGGUGGUGAACAACCAUUCUGUUUGACGGUACCCUCAAAGGAAGCACCGGCUAACUCCGUGCCAGCAGCCGCGGUAAUACGGAGGGUGCGAGCGUUGUCCGGAUUCACUGGGUGUAAAGGGUGCGCAGGCGGGCUCUUAAGUCAAAGGUGAAAUCUCUCGGCUUAACCGAGAAAUUGCCUUUGAUACUGAGAGCCUUGAGUACGGGAGAGGAGAGUGAAAUUCCCAGUGUAGGAGUGAAAUCCGUAGAUAUUGGGAGGAACACCGGUGGCGAAGGCGGCUCUCUGGACCGAUACUGACGCUGAGACGCGAAAGCGUGGGGAGCAAACAGGAUUAGAUACCCCGGUAGU
rnacentral:rRNA from 1 species